UACUGCUUUAAAAAUCUGAUCUCCUUAGAUCUCUAAGCUAAGCAGGGCUGGAUCUGGUUAGUACUUGGAUGGCAGACCACUGGGAAUUGGGUC
rnacentral:rRNA from 1 species